ensembl:lncRNA
GGCCUGUCCUCGGGGACCCACCAAAUCCUCACUCCUCUGUCUUGCCCUUUCACUCUCCUCUCCUCCAGCCUGCCAGGCACCCAGACUCUUCUGGAAUCUCAGGAGAGGGUGGGGCGCCACCUAGCAGAGGUCUCCAGCUGCACAUGCAAGCUGCCACUUCAGCCCGGAGUCAUUCAGGAGCUGACUUUAUUCUACUGCAUUGUCCUGGUUGUCAGAAGAUGGGGAGGGAAGGGGAAACCAGAGAUACCAGGAGAGAUCAACCUAUAUUAGGCAUGUGAGAGGCAGAACAACUGAGUGAUUACGACCCCAUCAAGAGUGUGGCUCCAUCUUCCAGAUCUGGAGCAAGCUCCUUGAGGCCAGGAGCUGCGUCCAGCUCACCUCUGUCUCCUAGACUGGGCCCAGUUGAUGAGCUCCAGGAGCUGACACUUUGGGGAAAACUGGAUGAGACAGAGGAACCAUUCAGAAGACAAUGCAGGUGAGAACAAGGCCACCAUGGGCUGCUGUGGCCCUGGGGCCUUCUGGGCACCUCUUCUGAGGAUGAGGGGGGAAAAUAUGGCAGGUGGGCCAGCAGCCUGAGCCGUGGCCCAGGUGGGCCCGGGGAGGAAAAUACCAGGCCUGGAUUGCCAGAGGCCUGAAGAGCCGGGGCGAGCAGGGCCAGGCCCUCCCAGAGCCCCUGACAAUGGCCUGAGUUCCCAGCCCACCUGCCCAUGGCUAAGGCAGAGGAAAUGGGCACCCACAGCCUUCCUCCCAAGCUGGGCCAGCUCUGUCGUAUUCCUGAGGGCCUACUGUGUGCACAUCCGCAUCACCUCUCACCCUUCUCAACCUUCACUAUGACAGCAAUUGGACAUCAAAGGCCCAGAGAGGGGAAGGGACUCAUCAAGGCCACACAGCACAGCAAGCCUGUGUCAGAGCCCUGGGAUUGGGUCCCCAAGGCAUCAGGAGCCCUAGCGGCUCUGCCCUUAGCUCUGAGACCGUUAUCUCUGGUCCCCGUCUGGACCUCCUCUCUCUGGGCACCAAGAGCCAGGAGGCAAAGUUUCAAGCCAAGACCUCACCAGCUCCAGGUGCACCAGUAUCCCAGGUCCUCAGUCCCACAACACGCCGGGCCACCCGUUUGGGGGACAGAAAGGAAGCUCACGCUGCCCCCUGGCUGAGCCGACUUUGAGCAGCAGAAAAUAACUCACUCCAGCAAAAAUCAUCCAAACGCAUCCCCUGCUCCCUGCCCUGUCCCCUGGGCACCCACUGAGCCCCACCUGGGCCCAGACCCUCAACUCGGCAGGAGGUGGGACGACAAAGAGGAUGAAGCCCCUGGGUGGGCACCAUGGUCUGAAAUGGGAGCCACACCUUUCCUGUUUCUCCCAUGGCCACGAAGCUGUCAUUUAGUCUCAUUUCGUCCUCACAGCAACGAGGAAGGGGGCAUUAUUGGUCCUAUUUUUCUGAGGACAAACCUGAGGCUCAGAGAUGUGAAGUGAUUGCCCAAAUUCACGCAGCGAGUAAACAGCGAGGAUGAUCCCGGUCACCUGAGGGCAGAGUGGGUGCUGGUUUCACGGCCCACACUGUGCCUCUGGAGGUUCCAGAAGUCCUGCUAGGCCCACCUCCUCCAGGAGACCCCGAGCCCUGGCCCCGUGGGGACUCGGCCUCCUUGGGCGCCUGCACCGUUGCCUCUGCUCCUGCAGGCCGCCACGCUCACUGUGCCUGGCAGGCUGGGGCGGUGGAUCAGGCUCAGGCUCAGGCUCAGGGCUUCAGCUGCCUGCUCUUGGAUCCUAGCUCCACUCCUCAGGAAUUGAUUUGGGCCAGUGACAGCCUCAGUUUCC